rnacentral:tRNA from 1 species
GCUCCUCUAGCUCAGCGGAAGAGCAGCUGCUUCGUAAGCAGAAGGUCGCCUGUUCGAUCCAGGCGGGGAGCACCA